rnacentral:rRNA from 1 species
GGUCAAGUGAAGAAGCGCAUACGGUGGAUGCCUUGGCAGUCAGAGGCGAUGAAAGACGUGGUAGCCUGCGAAAAGCUUCGGGGAGUCGGCAAACAGACUUUGAUCCGGAGAUGUCUGAAUGGGGGAACCCAGCCAUCACAAGAUGGUUAUCUUGUACUGAAUACAUAGGUGCAAGAGGCGAACCAGGGGAACUGAAACAUCUAAGUACCCUGAGGAAAAGAAAUCAACCGAGAUUCCCUUAGUAGUGGCGAGCGAACGGGGACUAGCCCUUAAGUGGCUUUGAGAUUAGCGGAACGCUCUGGAAAGUGCGGCCAUAGUGGGUGAUAGCCCUGUACGCGAAAAUCUCUUAGUCAUGAAAUCGAGUAGGACGGAGCACGAGAAACUUUGUCUGAAUAUGGGGGGACCAUCCUCCAAGGCUAAAUACUACUGACUGACCGAUAGUGAACUAGUACCGUGAGGGAAAGGCGAAAAGAACCCCGGAGAGGGGAGUGAAAUAGAUCCUGAAACCGUAUGCGUACAAGCAGUGGGAGCAGACUUUGUUCUGUGACUGCGUACCUUUUGUAUAAUGGGUCAGCGACUUAUUUUCAGUGGCGAGCUUAACCGAAUAGGGGAGGCGUAGCGAAAGCGAGUCUUAAUAGGGCGUCUAGUCGCUGGGAAUAGACCCGAAACCGGGCGAUCUAUCCAUGGGCAGGUUGAAGGUUAGGUAACACUGACUGGAGGACCGAACCGACUACCGUUGAAAAGUUAGCGGAUGACCUGUGGAUCGGAGUGAAAGGCUAAUCAAGCUCGGAGAUAGCUGGUUCUCCUCGAAAGCUAUUUAGGUAGCGCCUCAUGUAUCACUGUAGGGGGUAGAGCACUGUUUCGGCUAGGGGGUCAUCCCGACUUACCAAACCGAUGCAAACUCCGAAUACCUACAAGUGCCGAGCAUGGGAGACACACGGCGGGUGCUAACGUCCGUCGUGAAAAGGGAAACAACCCAGACCGUCAGCUAAGGUCCCAAAGUUAUGGUUAAGUGGGAAACGAUGUGGGAAGGCUUAGACAGCUAGGAGGUUGGCUUAGAAGCAGCCACCCUUUAAAGAAAGCGUAAUAGCUCACUAGUCGAGUCGGCCUGCGCGGAAGAUGUAACGGGGCUCAAACCAUACACCGAAGCUACGGGUAUCACGUAAGUGAUGCGGUAGAGGAGCGUUCUGUAAGCCUGUGAAGGUGAGUUGAGAAGCUUGCUGGAGGUAUCAGAAGUGCGAAUGCUGACAUGAGUAACGACAAUGGGUGUGAAAAACACCCACGCCGAAAGACCAAGGUUUCCUGCGCAACGUUAAUCGACGCAGGGUUAGUCGGUCCCUAAGGCGAGGCUGAAAAGCGUAGUCGAUGGAAAACAGGUUAAUAUUCCUGUACUUCUGGUUAUUGCGAUGGAGGGACGGAGAAGGCUAGGCCAGCUUGGCGUUGGUUGUCCAAGUUUAAGGUGGUAGGCUGGAAUCUUAGGUAAAUCCGGGAUUCCAAGGCCGAGAGCUGAUGACGAGUUGCCUUUAGGCGACGAAGUGGUUGAUGCCAUGCUUCCAAGAAAAGCUUCUAAGCUUCAGAUAACCAGGAACCGUACCCCAAACCGACACAGGUGGUUGGGUAGAGAAUACCAAGGCGCUUGAGAGAACUCGGGUGAAGGAACUAGGCAAAAUGGCACCGUAACUUCGGGAGAAGGUGCGCCGGUGAGGGUGAAGCACUUGCUGCGUAAGCCCACGCCGGUCGAAGAUACCAGGCCGCUGCGACUGUUUAUUAAAAACACAGCACUCUGCAAACACGAAAGUGGACGUAUAGGGUGUGACGCCUGCCCGGUGCCGGAAGGUUAAUUGAUGGGGUUAGCUAACGCGAAGCUCUUGAUCGAAGCCCCGGUAAACGGCGGCCGUAACUAUAACGGUCCUAAGGUAGCGAAAUUCCUUGUCGGGUAAGUUCCGACCUGCACGAAUGGCGUAACGAUGGCGGCGCUGUCUCCACCCGAGACUCAGUGAAAUUGAAAUCGCUGUGAAGAUGCAGUGUAUCCGCGGCUAGACGGAAAGACCCCGUGAACCUUUACUAUAGCUUUGCACUGGACUUUGAAUUUGCUUGUGUAGGAUAGGUGGGAGGCUUUGAAGCGUGGACGCCAGUUCGCGUGGAGCCAUCCUUGAAAUACCACCCUGGCAACUUUGAGGUUCUAACUCAGGUCCGUUAUCCGGAUCGAGGACAGUGUAUGGUGGGUAGUUUGACUGGGGCGGUCUCCUCCUAAAGAGUAACGGAGGAGUACGAAGGUGCGCUCAGACCGGUCGGAAAUCGGUCGUAGAGUAUAAAGGCAAAAGCGCGCUUGACUGCGAGACAGACACGUCGAGCAGGUACGAAAGUAGGUCUUAGUGAUCCGGUGGUUCUGUAUGGAAGGGCCAUCGCUCAACGGAUAAAAGGUACUCCGGGGAUAACAGGCUGAUACCGCCCAAGAGUUCAUAUCGACGGCGGUGUUUGGCACCUCGAUGUCGGCUCAUCACAUCCUGGGGCUGAAGCCGGUCCCAAGGGUAUGGCUGUUCGCCAUUUAAAGUGGUACGCGAGCUGGGUUUAGAACGUCGUGAGACAGUUCGGUCCCUAUCUGCCGUGGACGUUUGAGAUUUGAGAGGGGCUGCUCCUAGUACGAGAGGACCGGAGUGGACGAACCUCUGGUGUUCCGGUUGUCACGCCAGUGGCAUUGCCGGGUAGCUAUGUUCGGGAAAGAUAACCGCUGAAAGCAUCUAAGCGGGAAACUUGCCUCAAGAUGAGAUCUCACUGGAACCUUGAGUUCCCUGAAGGGCCGUCGAAGACUACGACGUUGAUAGGUUGGGUGUGUAAGCGCUGUGAGGCGUUGAGCUAACCAAUACUAAUUGCCCGUGAGGCUUGACCAU